UCUCGCUGCCUUCUUCUUUCGGGAGGUGUCGGAGGGGGAGAAAAAUACAAGAUAAUUCACGCCGGCGACGAAUUCACAGCGAAACAGAAAAAAUAAAAAUCAGAAGAAAAAGAAUUGCAAAAUAAAAAAAGCGACAGAGACAUCCAAAGAAUGGAGUGAAAGAGACAAGGAAGAAGGAGAAAAAGGAUAGAAAGAAGAAUACGAGGGAAACAACUAGUAGUAUAUGUAAGAAAAGAGGAGGAGAGAGGGCGAGAGAAGAGAGAAAGAGAGAUUGAGAGAGAGAGAGAGAGGCGGAGGAGAGAGACAGAGAGAGAGAGAGAGAGGAGGAGAGAGAGAGAGAGAGAGAG